rnacentral:rRNA from 1 species
AUUGAACGCUGGCGGCAUGCUUUACACAUGCAAGUCGAACGGCAGCGCGGGCUUCGGCCUGGCGGCGAGUGGCGAACGGGUGAGUAAUGCAUCGGAACGUGCCCAGUAGUGGGGGAUAGCCCGGCGAAAGCCGGAUUAAUACCGCCUACGACCUGAGGGUGCAAGCGGGGGACCGAAAGGCCUCGCGCUAUUGGAGCGGCCGAUGUGGGAGUAGCUAGUUGGUGGGGUAAAGGCUUACCAAGGCGACGAUCCGUAGCUGGUCGGAGAGGACGACCAGCCACACUGGGACGGAGACACGGACCAGACUCCUGCGGGAGGCAGCAGUGGGGAAUUUUGGACAAUGGGGGCAACCCUGAUCCAGCCAGGCCGCGUGCGGGAAGAAGGCCUUCGGGUUGUAAACCGCUUUUGUGCGGGAAGAAAUCCUUUGGGCUAAUACCCCGGGGGGAUGACGGUACCGGAAGAAGAAGCACCGGCUAACUACGUG